CGGAGGGAGCUAGCGUUGUUCGGAAUUACUGGGCGUAAAGCGCGCGUAGGCGGCUUUGUAAGUUAGAGGUGAAAGCCCGGGGCUCAACUCCGGAACUGCCUUUAAAACUGCAUCGCUUGAAUCCAGGAGAGGUGAGUGGAAUUCCGAGUGUAGAGGUGAAAUUCGUAGAUAUUCGGAAGAACACCAGUGGCGAAGGCGGCUCACUGGACUGGUAUUGACGCUGAGGUGCGAAAGCAUGGGGAGCAAACAGGAUUAGAUACCCUGGUAGUCCACGCCGUAAACGAUGAUAACUAGCUGUCAGGGGCCAUGGGCUUUUGGUGGCGCAGCUAACGCAUUAAGUUAUCCGCCUGGGGAGUACGGCCGCAAGGUUA
rnacentral:rRNA from 1 species